AUGAACGCUGGCGGCGUGCCUAAUACAUGCCAGUCGAGCGAACGGACGAGAAGCUUGCUUCUCUGAUGUUAGCGGCGGACGGGUGAGUAACACGUGGAUAGCCUACCUAUAAGACUGGGAUAACUUCGGGAAACCGGAGCUAAUACCGGAUAAUAUUUUGAACCGCAUGGUUCAAAAGUGAAAGACGGUCUUGCUGUCACUUAUAGAUGGAUCCGCGCUGCAUUAGCUAGUUGGUAAGGUAACGGCUUACCAAGGCAACGAUGCAUAGCCGACCUGAGAGGGUGAUCGGCCACACUGGAACUGAGACACGGUCCAGACUCCUACGGGAGGCAGCAGUAGGGAAUCUUCCGCAAUGGGCGAAAGCCUGACGGAGCAACGCCGCGUGAGUGAUGAAGGUCUUCGGAUCGUAAAACUCUGUUAUUAGGGAAGAACAUAUGUGUAAGUAACUGUGCACAUCUUGACGGUACCUAAUCAGAAAGCCACGGCUAACUACGUG
rnacentral:rRNA from 1 species